UGGGGAAUAUUGGACAAUGGGCGAAAGCCUGAUCCAGCCAUGCCGCGUGUGUGAAGAAGGCCUUUUGGUUGUAAAGCACUUUAAGUGGGGAGGAAAAGCUUAUGGUUAAUACCCAUAAGCCCUGACGUUACCCGCAGAAUAAGCACCGGCUAACUCUGUGCCAGCAGCCGCGGUAAUACAGAGGGUGCAAGCGUUAAUCGGAAUUACUGGGCGUAAAGCGCGCGUAGGUGGUUAUUUAAGUCAGAUGUGAAAGCCCCGGGCUUAACCUGGGAACUGCAUCUGAUACUGGAUAACUAGAGUAGGUGAGAGGGGAGUAGAAUUCCAGGUGUAGCGGUGAAAUGCGUAGAGAUCUGGAGGAAUACCGAUGGCGAAGGCAGCUCCCUGGCAUCAUACUGACACUGAGGUGCGAAAGCGUGGGUAGCAAACAGGAUUAGAUACCCUGGUAGUCCACGCCGUAAACGAUGUCUACCAGUCGUUGGGUCUUUUAAAGACUUAGUGACGCAGUUAACGCAAUAAGUAGACCGCCUGGGGAGUACGGCCGCAAGGUUA
rnacentral:rRNA from 1 species